rnacentral:lncRNA from 1 species
CAAAUGAACAUAUCCAUGUCAUCACCACCUAGAGCAAAAACAAAGAACAUUAUCAAGGCCCCAGAAGUGGCCCUAUGCACACCUUCCCAGUCAACACAUCCCUCUGCCUAUUCUGACUUCUGCCACCACCGAGUAUUUAUGCCUCUUUCUGAGCUUCAUAUAAAUGAAGUCAUACAAUAUGUACAUUUAUUUCUGAAUGCUUUUACUCAAUAUCUUAUCUCUGAGAGUCAUAUCAUGUUGUUCUGUGUAGCAGUAAGUUGGUUUUUUUUCAAUUGAUUUAAUAAAUUGCUCAAGAAAGCCAUAUGCACAAGGCAGGCUGGCUUCACUAGUGGAGCCUUGAGCAUUGCCUCAGGUCACUGGGUGGGGGAUGGGAUUAGGCCUCCAUUCAUAUUCAGACCAAGGGCAAGAGUUUGAGGACCACACUUCUGCGAAUGAUUUGAAUACACACCUUACCCGGAUACUAAGGGGGAGCUAUUACUUCCAGAAAGGAAGAGGCGGGCCUUUCCAACCCCCAAUCCCCUGGAAUGAUAAAACUGUAGCCCACGGGCGGAUCCUUGGGGCAGAGCUUCCUUGCCUGCCCGCUUGCGUCUCUCACAAGCAUUCUAUCCUAAUAAAUCUGUUUCUUGCCUAUCACUUUGUCUCUCACUGAAUUCCUUCUGCACAGAGGCACAAAGAACCUGAACCUCAGUAAGUCCAGACAUCGGGUGAGUGAAAACGUGGGUUCAAGUCCCAGUCUGGGUUUUGGCCAGGUUCGAGUCCCAACACACUGGUUCAAGUCCCAAUCUGGGUUUUGACCGGGUUCAAGUCCCAACACGCUGGAUCAAGUCCCAAUCUGGGAUUUGGCAGGGUUUGAGUCCUGUCACGUGGGUUCAAGUCCCAAUCUGUGUUCUGGCUGGAUUCAGGCUGUUAAUGCUAUCAGUUUCAUAUUAUUCUGUUAUGAACAUUCUUGCAAAUGCUUCAGAUGCACCUAUGCACUCAUUCCUGUUGGGUAUACACAUCUAGGAGUAUAAUUAGUGAGUCACAGGAUGUAUGUUGGCUCACUUUUAUAGGUAAGUCCAAACAGCUUUCCAAAAGUAGUUAAAUUUACAUACUCACCAGCAGUAUAUAAGAGUUUGAGCUUUUCCAUAUCUCCAUUUGGUUAUCAGGAUUUUUUUUUUUUAAUUUUAGUCAUUUGGGUGGGUAUGUAUUGGUAUUUUAUGAUAGCUUUAAUUUGCAUUUUCCUGAUGACUACUGAUACUAAAUGCCCUCUUGCUCAUUUUUACAAUUACUGUUUCUCUUUUUCUGACUGAUUUGUAGCCAUUCUUUACAUAUUCUGGUCAAGUUUCUUUUUAGGGCCAUACCUGUGGCAUAUGGAUGUUCCCGGGUUAGGGGUCAAAUCAAAGCUGCAGCUUCCAGCCUACACCACAGCCACAGAGGCAACACCUGGAUCUAAGCCACAUCUGCGACCUUCAUGUCACAGCUUGAGGCAACGCCAGAUCCUUAACCCACUGAGCAAGGCCAGGGAUUGAACAACCAUCCUCAUGGAGACAGCGUGGGGUUCUUAACCCACUGAGCCACAGCAGCAACCCCUGAUUUGCCUUUUACACUUAAUUUGUACCGAUGAAUCAAAGUUCUUAAUUUUAAUGAACAUGAUGCUAUGAGAAAUAGAUUCAAUCCUCCGGGUCCAUACAGACACUGAUUUAAGGAAUGUUAACUAGUUAACUGAUCGGGACCCAGACUUUGCAUAGGCCCUGAACUAUAAAUACAUCGUCACUACCCUCAUAUCCCCAAAGCUUUAGAUACAAGCAAUCACCAACUUAAUCAGUAAUGUGUCCAUAGAUUAUCAUGUGUAUUUAUGCAUCAUACCCAAGAAACUUUGUUAUAAAUCGUGAAUGGUUUACACCACCAGACCUUUGAAGUCCCACAGCAUGCUUCCAGCACAGCUCAGCACAACCAACAGCUCUGUAGGGUAUCUCCCAGAAGAGAUGUUCAAAGCACAAACUAUGGUCCCAAGAACAUAUCUCUUCUCUCCCCAUCCCAGUGCCCCCAGAUAAAAAUAUCCCAACCUCAAAAGCUUCCCAAUAAUGACCAGGAAUCCCAUUAUCCUAAAUAGCCAGUGAAAGUUUCCUUGGCCUGGGGUAGCAGAAGAAGCAACAGGCUUCUUCAAUGAUCAGAUUUCAAGGAAGCCUGGGUAGGGCUUACACAUCUAUUUAUCUCCCAGAUCUUCGCAGCUCCUCUGUGCAAUGUCUUUCGUUAUCUUCAUGUUAUAAGCAGAGAAAGAUUAUUUUGUUCAGCCAAGACUGUAUAGGAGCUUGUAGAGAAGGGAGAAGGGUGGUGUUGGGGUUUCCUACUGGACUAAUGUCCCUGAGCCUGCCUCUGCCUUCUUACAUGCUCCCAGGGUUCCUUUUCUUUGAUCCACUGUGUACCACCUGGGAUCACAACCCUUUCUCUGCUUCUCUAGCCAUAGGCAAACAAGAUAGCUCUUUUGAUAUUUUUUUUUCCCCUAGGGAGACUGACAGACAGGAAAUACCAUACCCUAGAUGUUCCUUCCUUUAUCUUAACCUCCUUUCUCCCUCUUCCCACCCUCGCCCACCUCCCACACCAAGACACACUUAAACGCCAUGACAUAAUUGUAUUACUUUCCUUUUUCAGACACACAGAGCAAACACAUGCCUGGCAGGGAGCAGCUGAUCUGAACCCCUAACCACUGCCCUACUCUGAAUCAGGUCCCUUCAGCGUGACCCAUCUAAAAAUAAAGGUUAAGAAAUGAAGAAGAGAUGGCAAAGGAAAAGCUGCCCUGGGUCAUUGAGAGUCAAGUAGAGAAAAGGAAGUGUUCAGAAUGAUGCAUAGUUCCCAUGGAUUCAGCACCCCCAGGCUAAUAUGCGACAAACAGCUUGAAGUCAGGACUCAAACCAUUAAUGGGUAAAUGCAGUUAUUUGGUCAACUGGGAAGUGGGGCCAGAGGUUCACAACACCUUUUCUUUGAAAGUUCCCAAGAAAAUGAUUCAUAAACUAUAUUAACUUCAAGCCCUUGAGCAGUAUUUCCUCCUUUUGCUAGCAAAGUUGACAGGGCAGGCAAAUGAUAGGUUUUUUUCCAUUGUACUAAAGCUACUUUAUUGAAUCUUUCUGGGCUGGCUAAGAGUCCUCAAGAUCUUCUUACUCAUUUUUGACUUCAAUAGGUGCACCACUGGCACACCCUUCCCAAGAACAGGCAGAACUGAGCCCAGACAUAGCACUCUAUUCUGAGUGAGAGAUACUCUGGUUCUCUAGAAGGUGUCAAAAACCUCUAGGCACACAGGGGAUUUCACUGAGGAAAAACAAAGUCUUUCAAAUUGGCUUUUCCUGGUUUCCAAACAGUAGCCUUUUGUUUCCUGCGGUUGGCUAAAAUAAACCUAAAAAAAAAAAAAAAAAAAAAAAAA